GUCGCUCACAUGGUUUGUAUGUUGCUCUCUUACCUGCAGGUUAUCUUCGUGCUGGAGCUUGCCGUGUCGAGUGGUUGCUGCUUGGAUAUGGGUUUGCCUAUGCUACACGUAGUAUCUUCCAGGCUCACUCUUUUGUGCCUAUGUGGAUGGUUGUUUUGAUCAAAUGGUACUAUCUUAUAUCCAUACCCUCUAGCCACGCAUGUUCGUUUUACCAUCACCGUGAGAAGCUUAGCCCUUCAGGGUGGUGGUGGUGGUUGGAGGUGAAGGCAAGGUGGUUUUUCUUGAUGAUUUUUCAUUUGUUACUGAACAAGACUCUGAACAUAUUUAGUUCAUGUCUUUCUAUCUUAUAGCAGUGUAAAGGAACCUCUUGCAGGGUAGUACAUUGUUCCUUCUCUAUAUUCUCUGUGUGGAAAACAAAACACAUAUUUACCACUUAGUAAUAUUCUGAAUGUUGUGUUUAUUGCUCCAGAUUGUUUCCAAAUACAUAGAUAAGGAUUUAUUUGCACACAAACUUGGUAAGUUCAGUCUGGUUGGUGAUUGUGGCGCUUAGCAUACAGAGCACGACCGGUGUUGUUUUGUCACAUUGAGACAAGGUGAUGGUCUCUUCCUCCAUAUUAGGCGAUGUCCUUUCUGAAUCCUCUCUGUGAUGCCAAUAUUGAUGCAUAAGGUCGUUGAUAAUUUGGCGAUAUUAUAUAAUGGAUUGCAGGUGACUAACUCAACUAUAUUUAGGUGUACGAAAAAAUAUAGAGCAAGUUGAUUUUACCGAAUUAGUUAUUACUAAUUGAGAAAGGCUAAGUGGCUUACCUGAGAUGUUGCACAUUAUUACUUAUUUAUUUCACAAUGCAAGUGUCAUGAUGUUGUAACUGUGGAUGUUUGGACAUGAACAUUGUUUCUUACAAAUUACUGUACUCAUUUUCUCUACACAAAAAUGAACUCAUGCCUACUUGUUCCAUUGCUUGGUAGUUCAUGGUUGGCAUAUGUACUGCUUAAUGGGAAAGCUAGAUCAUUUAUAACAAAUGCAAGAUUCUAGAGAAAAGAAGAAGAAAAAUUCAUUUAUCCUCCUUGAACUAUCCCAAGAGUUGGCUUUUAGACCUAAAUCUUGUGCAUGCCAAAGCUAUGGUACACAAACUUCUAUAUUUAUCUCUUCAUUUGGCACAAGUUAUUUUUUUUAUUUAAUCCUUAAACAAGUAAUAUCUAUGUAUCACAGGGAUGUCAAUCACAACAUAGCAAUCCAGCUAUAGGA